UGAUAGAAUACUGUCUUUGGACUACACAC
rnacentral:piRNA from 1 species